UUCUCUUGUAGAUGCCUGUAUGUAUUUUAGUUGGUUCUUAUCAGUUUAAUAUCUGAUAUGUGAGCCAUUGGUUCACACGAUAUUAAAUUUAUUUUUUGAGGGGGAAGGCCCAUCAAAGUAGCUUGCUGCUUGGGUUUUCAUGCGUCGUCUUUGUGUUGCACUAUUGCAUUGGCCUGGCGCACCCCAC